rnacentral:rRNA from 1 species
CAAUAGCGUAUAUUAAAGUUGUUGCAGUUAAAAAGCUCGUAGUUGGAUUUGUGGCGUACGGUGUGUUCCGGGCACUUGUUGUCUGAGUAGCCUGCUGUUGCCAUCCUUGGGUGGAACCUGUGUGGCAUUAGGUUGUCGUGCAAGGGAUGCCCAUCAUUUACUGUGAAAAAAUUAGAGUGUUCAAAGCAGGCUUAUGCCGUUGAAUAUAUUAGCAUGGAAUAAUGAGAUAGGACUUUUUUGCUAUUUUGUUGGUUUGCGCAAAGAGGUAAUGAUUAAUAGGGACAGUUGGGGGUAUUCGUAUUCCAUUGUCAGAGGUGAAAUUCUUGGAUUUUUGGAAGACGAACUACUGCGAAAGCAUUUACCAAGGAUGUUUUCAUUAA